rnacentral:rRNA from 1 species
UACGGGGGGGGCAAGCGUUGUUCGGAAUUACUGGGCGUAAAGGGCUCGUAGGCGGCCAACUAAGUCAGACGUGAAAUCCCUCGGCUUAACCGGGGAACUGCGUCUGAUACUGGAUGGCUUGAGUUUGGGAGAGGGAUGCGGAAUUCCAGGUGUAGCGGUGAAAUGCGUAGAGAUGUGGAGGAACACCGAUGGCGAAGGCAGCCCCCUGGGUCAAAACUGACGCUCAUGCACGAAAGCGUGGGGAGCAAACAGG